UACGUAGGGUGCGAGCGUUAAUCGGAAUUACUGGGCGUAAAGCGUGCGCAGGCGGUUCGCUGUGUCUUGUGUGAAAGCCCCGGGCUUAACCUGGGAAUGGCAUGGGAAACUGGCGGGCUGGAGUGUGGCAGAGGGGGGUGGAAUUCCGCGUGUAGCAGUGAAAUGCGUAGAGAUGCGGAGGAACACCGAUGGCGAAGGCAGCCCCCUGGGCUAACACUGACGCUCAGGCACGAAAGCGUGGGGAGCAAACAGG
rnacentral:rRNA from 1 species